rnacentral:lncRNA from 1 species
CUUGAUAGGAAAAAAGUGUAAGGCUGGGUGCGGUGGCUCAUGCCUAUAAUCCUAGCACUUUGGGAGGCUGAGGUAGGAGGAUUGUUUGCUUCCAGUUUGAAAUGAGCCGGGGCAACAUAGCAAGAUCCCCUCUGAGAAAAAAAAGUGUAAAACAUCUCAUUAAUUUUUAUAUCAGGUUGGGCGUGGUGGCUCAAGCUUGUAAUCCCAGCACUUUGGGAGGCUGAGGCGGGUGGAUCACCUGAGGUCAGGAGUUCGAGACCAGCCUGACCAACGUGGAGAAACCCCAUCUCUACUAAAAAUACAAAACUCAGCUGGGUGUGGUGGCGCAUGCCUAUAAUCCCAGCUACUCGGGAGGCUGAGGCAGAAUUGCUUGAACCUGGGAGGCGGAGGUUGCAGUGAGCCAAGAUCGCGUCAUUGCACUCCAGCCUGGGCAACAAGAGCAAAACUCCGUCUCAAAAAAUACAUACAUACAUACAUACAUACAUACAUUUUUAUAUCAGUUACAUGUUGAAAUUAUAAUAUUUUGGGAAUUGCAUAAAAUAAAAUGUAUUAAUUUCAUCUGUUUUUAAUGUGGCUACUAGAAAAUUCAAAGUAACAUGUAUGGCAUGCCUUCUAUUUCUUUUGGCCAAUGCUGCUGUUUCUGAGAGAUUGCAGGUUCAUUGAGGGGGAAUUUGCAUGGUUUGUUUGUUUUUUGUCUGUAUAGUGGUUUUGCCACCAUUUCCAGGGAAUUAGGUUGUGAUUACAUUUCUCUAGUGAUACAUGAAUGACUGAGAUCUUGUAAUUUGUUUUGUUUUGCUAGUGAUGAUGGCCAAAGAGAAGCCACCGAUAACUGUAGUUGGAGAUGUUGGAGGCCGCAUCGCAAUCAUCGUGGUAUGGUUAUAUGUCAUCCAUGUGCAGAGGUGGCACUCCUGGCUCUUGGUCAGUAGGUUGUCCACUCUGGGACUGUAUUUCUAGGAACGAUGAUCCGAAUGGAUCCAUGUAUCCUUUCUCACCCAAACUCCCUUGUGCCAAGUGGCAGAAACCUGUAUCCAGGUGAACAUACAUUAAAGUAUAACCUACAGAUAGGAAAUGAGCACAGUACUCCCGUGAGAAAAUUCAGCACCUUCACCUUCAUCAUGUGGAUUCUAGGUUCUUUAAACCAGCUCACCUAAUCAUGCUUGAGCGUUAGGGCCGAAAGAUGAACUGAAGAUGAGCUGUUCCGUUUUCACAAGUAAGAAUGGGUGUCCCCGUGCAGACUCGUUCUGCAUGUUGACAUACUUUUUUUCCCAGCUCUAAAUAUCUGCUGGCUAGUGGGUCAUGAGUCCUUUGCAGUAGCACACUUUAUUUCAGUUUUCUUCUCAUGUCACAGUCUAUUUGAAAAAAAAAUAAAUGGAACGCUGGCUAUGUGGGAUUCACCAGAAACGUGAGACAGGAAAAUGAGUGUUGGCAAUCCUCAGCUCCAGCCGUAAUGUCACAGGUGCUUGACUGCGCCCGCCUCUGACAGACACACAAGGUACUGUCAGGUGCUUCUGUUGCCAUUUCUGGAUGCUCGUUCUUUGACCCAGGCACACAGCUCUGAUUUUCCAUCAGAAAUCCUCUGAAACUGAGUGCAGAAGAGAGUAGAGUGGUGUGUGCAUUGACAGUAUGGGCUAGAGGGUGUUUCUUUCCUACCAACUCACUCUGUUCUCCUCCCAGGAUGACAUUAUUGACGAUGUGGAGAGUUUUGUUGCUGCCGCGGAGAUCCUGAAAGAGAGAGGCGCCUAUAAGAUCUAUGUUAUGGCCACCCACGGCAUCCUGUCUGCAGAGGCCCCUCGCCUGAUUGAGGAGUCCUCCGUAGACGAGGUCAGGCUGCUUCUAAAUCUUGAGCCAAGAUUUACUGCUGUGUUUUCUGGGAAUAAUAAAAUGAUUCAGUCAAUACU